rnacentral:rRNA from 1 species
GCGGAACCUGAAAACCUAGUCUCAGUUCGGAUCGGAGUCUGCAACCCGACUCCGUGAAGCUGGAUUCGCUAGUAAUCGCGCAUCAGCCAUGGCGCGGUGAAUACGUUCCCGGGCCUUGUACACACCGCCCGUCAAGCCAUGGGAGCCGGGAGUGCCUGAAGUCCGUGACCGCGAGGAGCGGCCUAGGGUAAGACCGGUGACUGGGGCUAAGUCGUAACAAGGUAUC